rnacentral:rRNA from 1 species
UACGUAGGGGGCAAGCGUUGUCCGGAAUCAUUGGGCGUAAAGAGCGUGUAGGCGGCCCGGUAAGUCUGUUGUGAAAGUCCAGGGCUCAACCCUGGAAUGCCGAUGGAUACUGCCGGGCUAGAGUCCGGAAGAGGCGAGUGGAAUUCCUGGUGUAGCGGUGGAAUGCGCAGAUAUCAGGAGGAACACCUAUAGCGAAGGCAGCUCGCUGGGACGACACUGACGCUGAGACGCGAAAGCGUGGGGAGCGAACAGG